UGACCUGUGGUGUAAUUGGCAACACGUGAGAUUCUGGCUCUCAAAUUCAGGGUUCAAGUCCUUGCAGGUCAA
rnacentral:tRNA from 1 species